rnacentral:lncRNA from 1 species
CAAGUAUUUUACUAAAAUUUAUGAGCAAGAAAUUAUAAGUGGUGAUGACCUUGAGGAACACAAAAGUUAUUCUCAGAGAAGGUUUGAUUAUAUUGAUAUAAAUACUGUUGAUAUCUGCAUGAAUUUAAGAAAAAUAAUUGUAAAAGCAAAGACUUUGUGGUAACAAUACAAAUGUGAAAAAUAGAUGAUAUGUGUUCCCCCAAAAUUGGCAGUCAAUAAAAUGUUACUGCCUGUUGUGUUAAGCAAGUUCCUAUCCAUCUGAUUCUUAAUUUUCUCAUCUGUUAAAUGAAAAGUACUAUUAUGUAUCUUAAAAGAUGGAAAUUCUAUAGGGUAGCAAACAUCUUUUUGAACCUGGGAAAUAGGAGGUGCUCAAUAAACAUUAGUUAACUCUGAAUAGCAAAUAAUACAGUUAUUUUGUAAAUAUAUAGCAAUUAUUUUUGGCAUAUUUCAGUUUCUUCCAGUGAAUAAAAUUACAUGAUAUUAUUUGUUAGCAUGUCAGCUAAUUAUAAAAAGAUUAGAGGAAUAUUUAUAAAGUGACCAUGGAGAGGAACAAUUUAAGUAUUCUCAUGUUGCAUUUUGCUGUUACUUAAGUAGUAAAAUGAAAAGACAGUUACCUUCAGUCACAAUUACAUGUUUCAACUCAGUUUUUAGCACUAUACAUCAUACUAAUUUUGUAUUUGUUUAAAGUUAGAUUUUUCAGUAGUAAUUUAUAUACCUGGCUGUAUUUUGUUAAACGUAAUAAAUCUAAGUAAAAGGUAUUUUCUUUAAUUUUGUAUAAUCGAUUGAGGAUGUUCUCAGCCUAACCCAGUUAGCCUGUAAGUUAUAUAUGCAGAUCCUGGCCUAGUUUAUUUCUUAUUUGGACUACUAUAGGAAUCUGUUAAAUAAUCUUGCCUGUUUUUAGUAUUCCCCAUCUACAUUAAUCUAGAUUCUGCUGUCAGCUUUUUAUCUAAACUACAGAUCUAACUCUUAUCAGCUACCUACUGUUUAACUUUUGUAGCUCAGAUAUCUCAAAUUACUCUCUGGUACCUGUAAAAUAAAGCCAAAUUUGUUACCAUUGUAUCUGUCAUCCCCUAUGAUUAUGUUUAUCCUGUGUUCUAUCCACACUGGAUUUCUUAGUAUUUCCCAAAGAUCCAGACAUGUCUGUCCCUCUGCUUACAGCUUGUUUUAUUCUCUAAACUGAACCAGUCUGUCAGAAUUAUACUUAAAUACUGGUAGAAUAUUAUCCUGAUUUUCUAGUCAAAAUUGUUUCCUCUGUGCCCUGCAGUACUUCUAUAGCACUAUAGCACCAUCUGUUACAUUUUCUAUAAUGUUAUCUAUAUUACCUCUGACUAGAUUGUAAAUUUUUUUGAAAGAAUUUAUGUAUAUGCUGUUCUAUAUGUUGUGUGACCUUGCACCUUUAUUAAGAGGUGGAGUUAUUUCUGUUCCCGCAUGGCUUCAUAAGUGAUUUGACCUGGAGAAUAUAAAGUGACUGCCAAUUCCAAACUUGGCCCUUAAGUGACCUGGAAGUUUCCACUUCCUCUUUGGAAUACUUACUGUCAAGUUCUGUGAUUACCUGGAAAUCAUACUGAAAAAUCCCAUGUUAUAUGUAGAGGUUCUAAAGAAAGACAUCAGACAUGAGUAAAGACACUGUGUUAGGAAGAAAUCCUCAAGACCCAGCUGCUUGCUCAAAUAAUUAAAUACAGAGUUGCCAUAUGACCCAGCAACUCCACCCCUAGGUAAUACACCCUAGAGAAAUGCAAACUUGUGUCUGCACAAAAGCUUGUACACAAAUUUUAUAGCAGGAUUAUUCUUAGUAUCCAAAAGAUGAAAUAACCCAAGUGCCCAUCAACUGAUGAAUCAGUAAACAGUAUGACAUCCAUACAAUGAAGUAUGUAUUUGGCCCUCCAAAUAAAUUCAUACUUUAACAAGGAUGAAUCUGGAAAACAUCAUGAAAGAACCUAGAUGUGAAAGGCCACAUACUUCAUUUAUAUAAAAGCUCAAAACAGCCAAAUUCAUUAGAAACAAAAGUAGUUGCCAAGUCUGGGGUAAGAGGAAGAUGAGAAGUGAUUGAUGAGUAUGGUGCUGCUUUGAAGCUGAAGAAAAUGUUCUGGCAGUAAGCAGUGAUGGCUGCACAACUCUGUGAAUAUUUUUGUUUGUUUGUUGUUAAAUUCUUUUAUUGGUACAUUUUAGGUAUACAACACAAUUACAUUUCUCAUUGGGAAUUGUACCCUUACAUAAUGCAUCUUGGUUCUUAUUUUUUCCCCAUUCCUAGCCCUCCCUUCCCUAUUUACAAAGACUUUAUUUCCAUUUUUUCCAUUUCUCAGCAUUUUUCCUUUCCCCUGCCCCUCCCACUACCCCUACCCCUUUAGACCUUUUCUUCCUAUUUUGCAUUAUCAAUUAUUCAUUCUAAUCAUUGGUACAUUUUAGGUAUACAACAUAAUGACAUUCAUCAUUGGAAAUUUGCACCUUUAUAUAAUCUCUCUUGGUUCUUAUUUUUCACCCUUGCCCAGCCCUCUCUUCAACCCCUCCAUUCCUCCCUAUUUACAAAGAUUUUGUUCCUGUUUUUCCAUUUUCUCCUAUUAAUCCCAUUCCCUUCUAUCCUUUCCCCUAGCCCUCCCACUUCCUUCCCCUUUGCCCCUUUUCUUCCUAUUUGUGAAUAUAUUUUUAAAUUGCUGAAUUGUAUACCUUUAAAUGAUAAAUUUUAUAGUAUGUGAUAAUCUCAAUAAAGUAUUUGAAAAAGGACUCAGCUGCUCUCGAUGACACCAAAUGCAGCAGAAACACAUAGCUGAGCUCUUCAAAUCCCUUAAAGACAAAAUUAUGAGCAAAGUAAAAAUUUUGGGGGGGUGGCCUACCGGGGAUCAAACUCGGGACCUUGCGCUUGAGAGGCAGGCAGCAACACCACUGAGCUAAAUCUCCAGCCUGUAAAAUAUUUUUUUUAAGCUAAACUUUUGAAAUGACUGACUGGGCAGCAGCAGAUAACUAAAACCACC